GGCGCUUCUGCAUGACAAUGUCCCCAAAAAGCCACAGCGUUUGUUUCACCAGAAGAAUCCACGACGCAAGGACUACGAGCAACGAGCCCUAAAGGUGCCAGUAGUUGACGAAGAACCAACAGGCAGUGAGGUUGUGGCUGUAUUUGACACAGCGGAGAGUGGAACCACUGCUACAGCCAACCCUGAAACCAGCGUGGACGAGAAUUUCACAGCGGACACCCAAGGACAAGCAGCAGACCCUAGUACUAGCAGUACAAGCAGCAGCACGAGCAGCCUCACCUUGACCGCGGACAGGUAUUAGUGGCGACCAACCUGGAAUGUCAUCGUUGAAUAGAAUAAAUAACCUGAUUAAUGUGCAA